CUGUUCAGCAUUUUACAAAGUACUUUAUGGAAAUUACCUGACAUAAGAAAUGAACCUCUUAACAACCCUAGGAUGCUGUCCAAAGUGUUAAGUCUGAGAAACACAAAUUAAGGACCCUACAUUUUUAUUCAACACAUAUGAUUUUUAUUCAAAUCCAUAGGAAGUUAUGUAGAAAAUUAGCAACAAAAUAUCAUUGAAAUAUUUGGAAUAAUUACCAGACAUAAUAAUAUCUGUUUCUUAAAUCCACCUCAUAAGCUUACUUAUGGAAGUGUUGCAUUUCACCUAAUAAAGAAGAGAAAAAUAACAGAAGAUCUUGUUUCACUGCCAAGUGGAUGCCAAUUGAGACAGGAAACUUCAGAUGCUCUCAGAGACAUUAUAAUAAAAAAUUCCUAGCUUUAUAUUUUAAAAAA